UACGGAGGGUGCAAGCGUUAAUCGGAAUAACUGGGCGUAAGGCGCACGCAGGCGGGCUUUUAAGUGAGAUGUGAAAUCCCCGGGCUUAACCUGGGAAUAGCAUCUGAAACUGGGAGUCUAGAGUCCUUUAGGGAGGGGUAGAAUUCCACGUGUAGCGGUGAAAUGCGUAGAGAUGUGGAGGAAUACCGAUGGCGAAGGCGGCCCCCUGGGCAAAUACUGACGCUCAGGUGCGAAAGCGUGGGGAGCAAACAGG
rnacentral:rRNA from 1 species